GAUGAAGAACGCAGCGAAAUGCGAUAAGUAAUGUGAAUUGCAGAAUUCAGUGAAUCAUCGAAUCUUUGAACGCACAUUGCGCCCGUCAGUAUUCUGACGGGCAUGCCUGUUCGAGCGUCAUUACGCCCCUCAAGUCCCCUGUGGACUUGGUGUUGGGGAUCGGCGAGGCUGGUUUUCCAGCACAGCCGUCCCUUAAAUUAAUUGGCGGUCUCGCCGUGGCCCUCCUCUGCGCAGUAGUAAAACACUCGCAACAGGAGCCCGGCGCGGUCCACUGCCGUAAAACCCCCCAACUUUUUAUAGUUGACCUCGAAUCAGGUAGGACUACCCGCUGAACUUAAGCAUAUCAAUAAGCGGAGGA
rnacentral:misc_RNA from 1 species